CCAACCACCACACCUGCAUGAUCUCUGGAUCUACUCGACUUUCAAUGUGCGAAUGACGAGGGUUUAAACCUGUUCGAAGUUGCUACUAAAGCAUUACAACGAUAUUUCCUGGUUAUUAUUUUGUUAUUUUAUAUGUUUUUUCCCAGUGUUUUUUUCUAAGAUUACUCAAAUGUAACUUCACUUGACUAUGUUUGGACUUCCUCUGGGUUGUGACGCCAUUUUGUUUGAAGUGUAGGAGAUCCCACUAACUCUGCGUUGUGUUCAUGAAGUGCAGGUGAGACAAGACGGCGUGCCAGCGCCAGGUCCAGCUCGGAAGUGAAUGUCAGGGACGGCGAUAGAAGUCGCCGUCAUGUCGCGCGGAAAUGGCAACAGCGAAGGAUGCAUGUGCAUGUACGAGCCAGUCUGCCCCACAACAAGAGGAUAGCGG